UUUUCCAUGUAAGGAAACUUCUGAACACGGCAGCCUUUUCAGGAGUUUUAAUAAGUGCAGAAUCUGAUGUACUUACUCCCAAGAAGUUCCACCUGCUGAUGGAUGAUUAUCAGGUCCAGCUGCAAAGGAUGAGACAAAGAAGUGAAAACCAUUCCAUCACAGCCCUUACUAUGCAACAGGAAGCCUGUCAUUUUCAUUAAAACAUUUUGAACACCCACCAUGUAUAAGACAAAAGACCAAAGUAGACCAAGGAAAACAGAAAACUUUCAGACACCAACAGAAAGUCAAGUGAAGCAGAGAAAGUGUUCUGGUAUCAAAUAUCGGCCACCUUUGGCCUAGGUAAUUAAUAAUGAAGUAUGUAACUCAGAUUGUUGCUUAGGAAUUUAUUGGCUAUUAUUGGGUGUGUUUGUGAGCGUGAUGUAUGCUGUACAUACAACAGUGCCCAUGUGGUAGUUAGACGACACAUUUUAGGGGGUGUUUCUGUUCUUUAUGUGGACUCUGAGGGGGUGGAACUCAUGUUGCUAGGCUUACAGAGGAUGACCGGCACUCCCAA
rnacentral:lncRNA from 1 species